rnacentral:rRNA from 1 species
UACGUAGGGAGCAAGCGUUGUCCGGAAUCAUUGGGCGUAAAGCGCAUGUAGGCGGCCGAAUAAGUCGGGUGUGAAAGCCCAGGGCUUAACCCUGGAAGUGCACUCGAAACUGCUCGGCUUGAAUAUGGAAGAGGGUCGCGGAAUUCCCGGUGUAGAGGUGAAAUUCGUAGAUAUCGGGAGGAACACCAGUGGCGAAGGCGGCGACCUGGGCCAAUAUUGACGCUGAGAUGCGAAAGCGUGGGGAGCAAACAGG